UGCGUAGGCGGCUCUAUAAGUAUGGUGUGAAAUCUCCCGGCUUAACUGGGAGGGUGCGCUAUAGACUGUGGGGCUAGAGUGUGGGAGAGGAAAGUGGAAUUCCUGGUGUAGCGGUGAAAUGCGUAGAUAUCAGGAGGAACACCGGUGGUGUAGACGGCUUUCUGGACCAUAACUGACGCUGAGGCACGAAAGCGUGGGUAGCAAACAGGAUUAGAUACCCUGGUAGUCCACGCCCUAAACGAUGCAUAUUUGGUGUGGGCCAUUCAUUUGGUCCGUGCCGGAGCUAACGCGUUAAAUAUGCCGCCUGGGGAGUACAGUCGCAAGGCUGAA
rnacentral:rRNA from 1 species